rnacentral:lncRNA from 1 species
CUCAACUAGAUGACUUUAAGUUCCCACUAAUUUCUAAAGCUGACAUCUCAUGAUUCAACCUGGUCUGGAUACACUCUUUCUUUUGAUGCUUCCUGAAGUUCCUUGACUACUUCUAGCCCCUGAUGACUCUCAGUUGACCUGUCUUCCUUGAAUCAAGGGCCAAGUGAUUACUUAGUUUGUUUUUCCCAGAAAAAAUCUGUGAAUGAUUCUCCAUAGUAUCAACGUCUUGACCCAUUGGUGACAUGGAACCAACAAUACCUCCUCCCCUCUGGUUCUCUGGCUCUUGACUAGGAAAUCUAUGGACUUGAAAUAGCAGUGGGAGGUCAUUGGGGUGGCAUGGAGAAGGAGGAAAUUAAUUGGGUUUGAAGGAUGGAUGACAGAACAACUACCAUAUUAAUGGAGACAUUCAAGAGCGAGAGGAAGUUGUUCAAUUCUUUGGUAAUUGAACUUUAAAGAGAGUCUUGUCUGCCCCCAAGUAGAUGAAUGCAAUGAUCUUUAGUCUACAGGACUGAAGCUGGUGAUCUGUCACUGAGCCUUUCAGUUUCAAAGUGUCAUUAACUUCAGGACCAGGAAAAUUUGACUCAGUUCAGAGCUUCUUCCUAGGUCUGUAAAAGAAAACGAGAUAGUACUAAAGGAACGAGAGACAUGAAUGGCCACAGUGAAGCAAUGUGAUAUAAGGGAAAGAGUCUCUGACUCAGCACGCAGAGGAUCUAAUUUCAAACCCAUUUCCGUGUAUGAUCUUGGGAAUGUUACUUAAUUUCUCCAGGCUUGUUUCCUCAUCUAUAAAAUAAGGAGGCUGUCCUGGAUGGUUUCUGAGGUUCCUCCCAGCUCUAUUGAUAUGAUUCUCUGAAUCCUUGUAGGGCCAUGUAUUACAUUCAUGACUAGGCAAUUAGAUUCAGCAAAUAUUUAUUAAAUUCCUACUAUGUGCUAGAUAUGGAAGACAGGAAGACAAAAAUGAGACUUCUCUCAAAGAUUUUCUUCAAACAUAAAACGAGGAAAUUGAACAAAAGGAUUUUCUACGUAAUCCAUUGUGCCAUUGUGACGUAUAGCUAAUCCUCUCCUUUAGAGAUGAGGAGCCUGAAUUCCAGAGAAGGAAGAUGGUCACACAGAAAAUAAAUGGAUGUUCUGAGAUUUGAACUCA